GAACUUCUCCACCGACCCCGUCACCUGGAUCGGAUCACCGACCUCUCCCAAGAGGGGCCUGGCUUCCUCCUAGCUGGGGAAACGGUAGGGAGCUCCCCUAGGUAAAGCCUCUAGGGAGAGUGGCCAGGAGCCGGGUCAGGAAAGGCUCUGGAGCCCAAAGGGCUGCCCGCAGAGGCUGAGGUCCCUGCAAGUGCACAGGGAGGAGAGGUGAGAUCAGAUUCCAGCCGAGUCAGGCUUCCAUGUCAGACUGCGUGUGUUUAUGCAGAGGUGCAACUCAGGAAUUACUGAGGAGAAAGUACAGGGCCAAUUUAACCUCCGCUGAGAGACCUCGAACCCUGCUCAUCACCACUCCUCGCUAAAAAGGGGCCUCUCCAGGGAAGAACCCAGAGGGAGAGCGGGAAUUCUCCUCCCCUCGGAGGAAGAGUGCUUCCUCUACCCUUAAUGUACCAACUGACAACAAUUCAAACAGAAGGAAACUAGGGUGUGACAAAUAAAGGAAGCCUUUUCAUGCUCUAUGUCCACUGGCGUCGGGCAAGCCCCGGUGGAAGUCCAAGGAAAAGAGUCUAAGACCCAAACAGAUGGUUUGCGCCAAAGUUCUAAAGUGUAUCAGACGUGAAUAAAGGUCUUCGAUUCCCUGCCCCCUGCCCGAGGACCUGUCUCCUCCCUGCCCGAGGACCAAGCUUCAGAAGAACUGCACAUGGGAGGAAAUACCAACCGUUUAACUUCUUCAGAGACAACCUCUAACCCGGCUCACCACCACGCUAGCUAAAAAAGGGCCCUCUCCCAGGGAAGAUCCCGGAGGAAGAGUGGGAAUUCACCCUCCCCUUGGGGGAGGGGGGAGGAGUGCUUUCUCUACCCUUAAUUUAUGAACUGAGAAAAAUCCUAACAAGCCUACUAUGAAAUAAAGAUGCCCUUAACCCA
rnacentral:lncRNA from 1 species